rnacentral:rRNA from 1 species
GGUUAAGCGACUAAGCGUACACGGUGGAUGCCCUGGCAGUCAGAGGCGAUGAAGGACGUGCUAAUCUGCGAUAAGCGUCGGUAAGGUGAUAUGAACCGUUAUAACCGGCGAUUUCCGAAUGGGGAAACCCAGUGUGAUUCGUCACACUAUCAUUAACUGAAUCCAUAGGUUAAUGAGGCGAACCGGGGGAACUGAAACAUCUAAGUACCCCGAGGAAAAGAAAUCAACCGAGAUUCCCCCAGUAGCGGCGAGCGAACGGGGAGCAGCCCAGAGCCUGAAUCAGUGUGUGUGUUAGUGGAAGCGUCUGGAAAGGCGCGCGAUACAGGGUGACAGCCCCGUACACAAAAAUGCACAUGCUGUGAGCUCGAUGAGUAGGGCGGGACACGUGGUAUCCUGUCUGAAUAUGGGGGGACCAUCCUCCAAGGCUAAAUACUCCUGACUGACCGAUAGUGAACCAGUACCGUGAGGGAAAGGCGAAAAGAACCCCGGCGAGGGGAGUGAAAAAGAACCUGAAACCGUGUACGUACAAGCAGUGGGAGCCUCUUAAUGGGGUGACUGCGUACCUUUUGUAUAAUGGGUCAGCGACUUAUAUUCUGUAGCAAGGUUAACCGAAUAGGGGAGCCGAAGGGAAACCGAGUCUUAACUGGGCGUUAAGUUGCAGGGUAUAGACCCGAAACCCGGUGAUCUAGCCAUGGGCAGGUUGAAGGUUGGGUAACACUAACUGGAGGACCGAACCGACUAAUGUUGAAAAAUUAGCGGAUGACUUGUGGCUGGGGGUGAAAGGCCAAUCAAACCGGGAGAUAGCUGGUUCUCCCCGAAAGCUAUUUAGGUAGCGCCUCGUGAAUUCAUCUCCGGGGGUAGAGCACUGUUUCGGCAAGGGGGUCAUCCCGACUUACCAACCCGAUGCAAACUGCGAAUACCGGAGAAUGUUAUCACGGGAGACACACGGCGGGUGCUAACGUCCGUCGUGAAGAGGGAAACAACCCAGACCGCCAGCUAAGGUCCCAAAGUCAUGGUUAAGUGGGAAACGAUGUGGGAAGGCCCAGACAGCCAGGAUGUUGGCUUAGAAGCAGCCAUCAUUUAAAGAAAGCGUAAUAGCUCACUGGUCGAGUCGGCCUGCGCGGAAGAUGUAACGGGGCUAAACCAUGCACCGAAGCUGCGGCAGCGACGCUUAUGCGUUGUUGGGUAGGGGAGCGUUCUGUAAGCCUGCGAAGGUGUACUGUGAGGUAUGCUGGAGGUAUCAGAAGUGCGAAUGCUGACAUAAGUAACGAUAAAGCGGGUGAAAAGCCCGCUCGCCGGAAGACCAAGGGUUCCUGUCCAACGUUAAUCGGGGCAGGGUGAGUCGACCCCUAAGGCGAGGCCGAAAGGCGUAGUCGAUGGGAAACAGGUUAAUAUUCCUGUACUUGGUGUUACUGCGAAGGGGGGACGGAGAAGGCUAUGUUGGCCGGGCGACGGUUGUCCCGGUUUAAGCGUGUAGGCUGGUUUUCCAGGCAAAUCCGGAAAAUCAAGGCUGAGGCGUGAUGACGAGGCACUACGGUGCUGAAGCAACAAAUGCCCUGCUUCCAGGAAAAGCCUCUAAGCAUCAGGUAACAUCAAAUCGUACCCCAAACCGACACAGGUGGUCAGGUAGAGAAUACCAAGGCGCUUGAGAGAACUCGGGUGAAGGAACUAGGCAAAAUGGUGCCGUAACUUCGGGAGAAGGCACGCUGAUAUGUAGGUGAAGUCCCUCGCGGAUGGAGCUGAAAUCAGUCGAAGAUACCAGCUGGCUGCAACUGUUUAUUAAAAACACAGCACUGUGCAAACACGAAAGUGGACGUAUACGGUGUGACGCCUGCCCGGUGCCGGAAGGUUAAUUGAUGGGGUUAGCGCAAGCGAAGCUCUUGAUCGAAGCCCCGGUAAACGGCGGCCGUAACUAUAACGGUCCUAAGGUAGCGAAAUUCCUUGUCGGGUAAGUUCCGACCUGCACGAAUGGCGUAAUGAUGGCCAGGCUGUCUCCACCCGAGACUCAGUGAAAUUGAACUCGCUGUGAAGAUGCAGUGUACCCGCGGCAAGACGGAAAGACCCCGUGAACCUUUACUAUAGCUUGACACUGAACAUUGAGCCUUGAUGUGUAGGAUAGGUGGGAGGCUUUGAAGUGUGGACGCCAGUCUGCAUGGAGCCGACCUUGAAAUACCACCCUUUAAUGUUUGAUGUUCUAACGUUGGCCCCUGAUCGGGGUUGCGGACAGUGUCUGGUGGGUAGUUUGACUGGGGCGGUCUCCUCCUAAAGAGUAACGGAGGAGCACGAAGGUUGGCUAAUCCUGGUCGGACAUCAGGAGGUUAGUGCAAUGGCAUAAGCCAGCUUGACUGCGAGCGUGACGGCGCGAGCAGGUGCGAAAGCAGGUCAUAGUGAUCCGGUGGUUCUGAAUGGAAGGGCCAUCGCUCAACGGAUAAAAGGUACUCCGGGGAUAACAGGCUGAUACCGCCCAAGAGUUCAUAUCGACGGCGGUGUUUGGCACCUCGAUGUCGGCUCAUCACAUCCUGGGGCUGAAGUAGGUCCCAAGGGUAUGGCUGUUCGCCAUUUAAAGUGGUACGCGAGCUGGGUUUAGAACGUCGUGAGACAGUUCGGUCCCUAUCUGCCGUGGGCGCUGGAGAACUGAGGGGGGCUGCUCCUAGUACGAGAGGACCGGAGUGGACGCAUCACUGGUGUUCGGGUUGUCAUGCCAAUGGCACUGCCCGGUAGCUAAAUGCGGAAGAGAUAAGUGCUGAAAGCAUCUAAGCACGAAACUUGCCCCGAGAUGAGUUCUCCCUGACUCCCUGAGAGUCCUGAAGGAACGUUGAAGACGACGACGUUGAUAGGCCGGGUGUGUAAGCGCAGCGAUGCGUUGAGCUAACCGGUACUAAUGAACCGUGAGGCUUAACCUU